GUAUGUACCGGAAGUGUCACGCCGGAAAAGGCCCACUUCCGCCACAGUUGACCGAAACUGAAAAACGGGCCCAUUCUCAACUGAUUUAUUGAUGUCAGAUUUUAAAAUACCGCCAGUCACGAGAGUUUACCUUUAGAAACGACGGGUUUUGUCAUAUGAGUCCAACAGGUUGGCUACCUUGUGUAGUUAAUUCGUAACAGAAGAGGAGACGACGCAACAGCAGGAACAGCAGGAACAUCUACACUGCAAUAUUGCGUCAAGGGGUGUACCUCGCCUCUUUCCCCAAAAUCAGAAGGUUCCAGCACACUCAUGAUCCUCAACAGGAUGAGUAGUCGAAAAUGGAUGGAUGGAGGCGUCACUCUGAGUCCCUCAAAGCUACCAUCUACAUCAGUGUCCCCCAUUGGGGUGCGAAUUGACAAGUGGCGACCCGUCAUUGGCUGCUCACCUUCCGGCUGUGCGGUUGCCGUCUCAUCUAAAGGGAGAAAAGAAAGGAGGGGAUCCAUUACAAGACGCUGGGCACGGACAAUCGGAAGAUGUCUGCUCCAGUGAACGUUCAGGCCCCGGUUUGCGCUACAGAUCUUCACGGUGACGCUUGUGCAGCAGCAUCAGGGUGUGCUCGCUGAACUGCGCCGCCAGCUGGUCCUUGUUGCGGGCGGAAAAGCGGAAGACGCCCGAGGACGACGGCACCCAGGAGACGCAGUGGGCCAUCGUGGGGUCCUCAAGCAUCUCGAAGAGGAAGUGAAAAAGGCGAAGCUUCCUACCUGCAAGACGCAAUAUUUGACGGUGAGGAUACCACCAAGUUUGUCAAGUAUUUCAACAAAGUGCGGUGAAACCGGCAGCAUGCUCGUAGUCCUGCGCCGGGCACUGUUCGUGCCAGCUCUGCCAGUCGAGCGCCGCCGGGCCGCAGUAGCUUGGCGCGGCGGCCG